GGAAAUGCGUUGAUAAGGAUUAGUACAUGCAACGCACUGUUCAGAGAGCCGAUGGUAGGUGUGAAUCGGUCAGUGCUUGUAUGGAAUCCACCUUGGAGUAGAAGGAGAAACACUUCUCGGUUAGCAGCCGUUAUUGCUAAGUGGCAUUUAGGUAUUAGGGAAGUGCACCCUAAUACCUAGGCAACAAGGGUGGUAACGCGGGUGCUCUCGUCCCUUCU
rnacentral:ncRNA from 1 species